GACGAACGCUGGCGGCGUGCUUAACACAUGCAAGUCGAACGGAAAGGCCCUGCUUUUGUGGGGUGCUCGAGUGGCGAACGGGUGAGUAACACGUGAGUAACCUGCCCUUGACUUUGGGAUAACUUCAGGAAACUGGGGCUAAUACCUGAUAGGAGCUCCUGCUGCAUGGUGGUGGUUGGAAAGUUUCGUCGGUUGGGGAUGGACUCGCGGCUUAUCAGCUUGUUGGUGGGGUAGUGGCUUACCAAGGCUUUGACGGGUAGCCGGCCUGAGAGGGUGACCGGCCACAUUGGGACUGAGAUACGGCCCAGACUCCUACGGGAGGCAGCAGUGGGGAAUAUUGCACAAUGGGCGGAAGCCUGAUGCAGCAACGCCGCGUGCGGGAUGACGGCCUUCGGGUUGUAAACCGCUUUCGCCUGUGACGAAGCGUGAGUGACGGUAAUGGGUAAAGAAGCACCGGCUAACUACGUG
rnacentral:rRNA from 1 species